rnacentral:rRNA from 1 species
AUGACCGGUACUUUAGUGGAUCAACAACAUAUGUGGAAUGCUAUUUGGAAACUCAAAGUAAUCCCCAAAGUGAGGUUUUUCUGGUGGCGUGUGAUGCAAGGCAUCAUACAGGAUGAGUGCAACUUGAAGCAUCGCCACAUAAGAGAAAUUAACACCUGUAAGAUUUGUCUCGCCUUGGAUGAGGACUUGGAACAUGUCCUUCUGCUUUGCUCUCAUGCCUGCUGGUUUUGGGAGGAAGCCCGACUGCUCUUUGACAUACAUGCGCCAAGGCUCCGUCCUCACACAUGGACAAGGGAUAUCUUAUGUGAUCCGCAUUUUUCUGAAAAGGACAGAGCGAUCAUUGUCGCGGUGAUGUGGGCCGUUUGGAUGUAUCGCAAUCGCGUGACGCAUGACCUGGAAAGGAUAGAUCCAGCCAGCUCAAUGUUUCUCAUAUCAAGAUCAAUACAGACGGUGCAGUUCAUCUCGAUGAUGGCAACGCUGGAGCGGGGGGUGUCGCCCGCUCUUCUUCGGGAUUCAUGGGUGCAUGGUCAUUGCUGGGCAUGUCACGCGAUCCUAGUUCGUAGACCCCCGGGGCUCAUUCCUUCCGUCGACCGUCCUUCGCUUCUUCUCCGCCACAGCGCACCGAUCCCCAAGCCUUCGUCCUCACUCACGCGGGCACAGACGCAUUUCCCCAGAGUCCGACUGCAUCCACAGUCCGCGCUCGUGCUGCGCCCACGUCCGGGGGACCCACCACCGGCCCCGCCUCCGCCUCCAUAA